AUUCGAUGCAACGCGAAGAACCUUACCUGGGCUUGACAUACACCGGAUCGGGCUAGAGAUAGUCCUUCCCUUGUGGCUGGUGUACAGGUGGUGCAUGGCUGUCGUCAGCUCGUGUCGUGAGAUGUUGGGUUAAGUCCCGCAACGAGCGCAACCCUUGUCUUAUGUUGCCAGCAUUUGGUUGGGGACUCAUGAGAGACUGCCGGGGUCAACUCGGAGGAAGGUGGGGACGACGUCAAGUCAUCAUGCCCCUUAUGUCCAGGGCUUCACACAUGCUACAAUGGUCGGUACAAUGCGUUGCGAGCCUGUGAGGGUGAGCUAAUCGCAUAAAGCCGGUCUCAGUUCGGAUUGGGGUCUGCAACUCGACCCCAUGAAGUCGGAGUCGCUAGUAAUCGCAGAUCAGCAAUGCUGCGGUGAAUACGUUCCCGGGCCUAGUACAC
rnacentral:rRNA from 1 species